GAUGAAGAACGCAGCGAAAUGCGAUAAGUAGUGUGAAUUGCAGAAUUCAGUGAAUCAUCGAAUCUUUGAACGCACAUUGCGCCCCUUGGUAUUCCAUGGGGCAUGCCUGUUCGAGUGUCAUUUGUACCUUCAAGCUUUGCUUGGUGUUGGGUGUUUGUCUCGCCUUUGCGUGUAGACUCGCCUUAAAAUAAUUGGCAGCCGGCGUAUUGAUUUCGGAGCGCAGUACAUCUCGCGCUUUGCACUCAUAACGACAGCGUCCAAAAGUACAUUUUACACUCUUGACCUCGGAUCAGGUAGGGAUACCCGCUGAACUUAAGCAUAUCAAUAAGCGGAGGA
rnacentral:misc_RNA from 1 species